rnacentral:rRNA from 1 species
GUAGGUGGCAAGCGUUGUCCGGAAUUAUUGGGCGUAAAGCGCGCGCAGGUGGUUCUUUAAGUCUGAUGUGAAAGCCCCCCGGGCUCAACCGGGGGAGGGUCAUUGGAAACUGGGGAACUUGAGUGCAGGAGAGGAAAGUGGAAUUCCACGUGUAGCGGUGAAAUGCGUAGAUAUGUGGAGGAACACCAGUGGCGAAGGCGACUUUCUGGCCUGUAACUGACACUGAGGCGCGAAAGCGUGGGGAGCAAACAGGAUUAGAUACCCUGGUAGUCCACGCCGUAAACGAUGAGUGCUAAGUGUUGGGGGGUUUCCGCCCCUCAGUGCUGCAGCUAACGCAUUAAGCACUCCGCCUGGGGAGUACGGUCGCAAAGACUG